AUCUAAGUAGUUUAAAAUAAAAUUGUGAUUUGUGGUGUCAUAGAUAUAAUAAAUUUAUCUUAGAUU
rnacentral:tRNA from 1 species